rnacentral:rRNA from 1 species
GACGAACGCUGGCGGCGUGCCUAAUACAUGGAAGUUGAGCGCUGAAGGUUGGUACUUGUACCAACUGGAUGAGCAGCGAACGGGUGAGUAACGCGUGGGGAAUCUGCCUUUGAGCGGGGGACAACAUUUGGAAACGAAUGCUAAUACCGCAUAAAAACUUUAAACACAAGUUUUAAGUUUGAAAGAUGCAAUUGCAUCACUCAAAGAUGAUCCCGCGUUGUAUUAGCUAGUUGGUGAGGUAAAGGCUCACCAAGGCGAUGAUACAUAGCCGACCUGAGAGGGUGAUCGGCCACAUCGGGACUGAGACACGGCCCAAACUCCUACGGGAGGCAGCAGUAGGGAAUCUUCGGCAAUGGACGAAAGUCUGACCGAGCAACGCCGCGUGAGUGAAGAAGGUUGUCGGAUCGUAAAACUCUGUUGGUAGAGAAGAACGUUGGUGAGAGUGGAAAGCUCAUCAAGUGACGGUAACUACCCAGAAAGGGACGGCUAACUACGUG